UGGGGCGUCGACAAGUGGUAAGUCAGGAGACUUUGGAUCUCCCAUUCCCAGGUUCGAAUCCUGGCGCCCCAACCA
rnacentral:tRNA from 1 species